CUAGUGAUGUCAUAACUGCCACAUGCGGGGGGUGGGGGGCAAAGUGUCAUCCUUCAGCACUGGGGAGAGAUGUAGCUGGUGGACACCUACUGCAUCUACACUACAAACAUGGAAUGAAGGUUAUCACCUACGAUGAGAAUGCAUCCACUAUGAUUGGCUGUCAGAUUCAGAGAGCGUAAAAAGUGAAGUAAGCAGCACCUGACAAAGUUGGACAUCAAUUCCCAUUGUCAAUGGAGAGGAAGAAUUAAAUUGAUUGCCUUA